AGAAGAGUCCUCUGGGAGAGUAGGCGACAGGGAGGAGUGAUAAAGGACAUGGGAUUCCCAGGCACUUUUCCCCAUCUAACUUACUGCCUUCUAUAGCCCCAAGCCACCCAACUAAAAAUAACAAGCCAGUCUCUAAAAAGCAGGACAAGGCUGGCAAGCCAUCAAGCUAGGUAGGGCUCCUCCAACAGAAGCAAACAUCCCACGGCACACAACAGUGCCAACCAAGGGAUGUAUUUGCUACUUUCAUUCUGCAAGGAGUUGGCCCCCUACACUCUCCUACUUCCGGACUCUUGGUCGGGGCUUCUAGAACUCUCCAUUUCCCACUGGUCUUUGAGUCUUCACAUCUUUUGGUUCAAAGCAUGGUCGUUUGUCUUCCCCAGUUCAAGCGCUCAGGCUUCAUCCUCUGCAAAAGCAGUUUGCCUCCCAUUCAAGGAUGUAAAUCUCCUCCAGUUUGACACCUGGCUGGAGAAGGGACUAGAAAGGCUGUCUCUUCAGCUGUCAGAUCCACUGGUGACAAUCUGCAGAUGGAAUCCACAGCUUCGUUCAAGUCUAAACACUCCAAAGGAGGCUGAGAGUCGGCACACCGGUAUGUGUCCAGCAAGACCCAAGCAGUAUGGGCUCCUGGACAGUCUUCAAGGACAAUUCUAUAAACCAAAGGCCCCUCUCCCCCAAAGUUACCCUCUCCUUUGCCUGGGCAACUUCCCUCAGCGAUGUUGGGAAAAUAUCCAGAGAUCCAGAGAAGAGGCCCUCUGAUCCCCAGGCUCAACCAAGACUUCCAUACCGAGGGCCAUAGUUCAAGAGCAGACUCCCUGCCAAGAAACCGUCUACGUUCAGACACCAGAGAGUGCGCACUGCAUUGGUUUGGAAGGGAGAAAGUCAUCUUUGGUAUGCAAACAGCUUGAGAAAUAAAACCUGAGCUCCAGGAGAAAAGGGAGCUGCAUA